GUUUUCAGUCGAUCGAGAGAUAACACAAUAUAUGGAAGGUGUUUUUCGAGGACUGGAAAAUUUGUUGGCAUAAACAUUGAUGAAUAAUUAAAUAUUUUGCGUUUUAUUUACAAUUUUCAUGUAUUUUUGAGUUUGUUAUUAUUGAAUAUUGUUAUAUUAAAUAAGAAAAUUUAUUAUGAUCUAACUACUUUUUUUAUUAUUUUUCUGUUUUUCCUAUUUAUAUAUUAUAUUUUUUUACAUUUUUUAUUUAUAUCUCCAAUCUCACAAUUUCUGUUCAUAUUACAUAUUUUCAAAGAAAAUCGCAUAUCUUCAAUAUUGCAAGUUUGUAAAAUUGUUAAAGCAAAUAUUUAAUUGAAAUGAGUAAAGACUGAAGUUAAAGUAAAAAGAACAAAAUAAUGGUUUUUGAUAUGAAAAUUAAAAAAAAAAAAACAUAAAAUUGAGAAUAAAAUAAUAAUCGGCUUUGUUCGUCUGUGUAUGUGUGGGUGAAAGCAUUUUGCAAUUAUGAAGCGAUGAAGGCCUUACAAAAUGCAUUUGAUUCCAACAAAUCACAUAAGGAAAAUUAAUUACAAUAACACUAAGACUUUGCAAUGGAAAUUGGCGAAUUGAGUAACGGUUUAAAUUUUCACGAAAACAGCGUUUUGAAAAUUUUUAGGUUAUUUUAUAAAUUUCCACACAAAUUACACACGUUGAAAACCAUUUAAAGCAAGAUUCUGUAAUGAAAAAAAAAACACUUAUAUAGUACAUAUGUAUAUAAAUAUAUAAAAAUAUAGUAAACAUACAUAAAUACGUUUGUAUAGUAGUCCAGCUAGUUGUAAGUGUCGGCGCGUGCAAUCUUGUACAUAUGUAUUUGUAUUUUGCAUAAGUAAGAUUUAAACAUUUACAUCUGUAACACAUACACAUAAGUAGUUGAAUUGAGCAGGUCCACUUUAUUAGCAUGUGUCUCUAGUAUUAUGCAGACAUACAUAGUUACAAAAUAGUAUGAACCAUUGUCGUCCAUUUUUUCAAAGGCGCUGUAGCGCGAACUUUUUAUUGCUGUAGUAAUUUAAAACUUGAAAAUAAUUAUUUAUAUGUUUCUUAUACAAUUAAGUAUUAUGUCGAUACAUGUGUAUAUGUAUGUGAAAAUCCAUUGCCAAAACAGUGUUGCUGAAAAGUUUGAAUUUUUAAGAAAGUUGUUUUGCAUUUGUUAAGACACCUCAUAUAGUCAGUCAUAUCUGCAUAAGCUUGCAUAAAAAUGUAUGUAGUAUAUACAUAUGUAAGUAUAAUUAAAUAUACAUAUGUACAUAUACAUAUGUAUGUAAAUCAUAAACAUUUUUGAAAAUAUUUUUCGUUCACUAAUUAUUUUGACUUUCUUUGGAGCUCUAAUUGAAAAAGUAUCGAAACUGUCACUAUACAUAUAUUGAAUGAAUCGAACAAGUAACUGGUAUAAAUUUUAUAAACUGGCAUAAUUGAGUUAAGUGGUUAAAGAAAGAUAUUUUACGACUUGAAAGAGCCGUCUACAAAAUUUUGCAGAGCGAUGAAUCGAACAAUAACUGGUAUAAAUCGUAUAAACUGGCAUAAUUGAGUAAAGUGGUUAAAGAAAGAUAUUUUACGACUUGAAAGAGCCAUCUCCAAAAUUUUGAAGAGCGAUGAAUUGAAAGGUAACUGGUAUAAAUCGUAUGAACUAGCAUAAUUGAGUAAAGUGGUUAAAGAAAGAUAUUUUACGACUUGAAAGAGUCCUCCCCAAAAAUUUUGCAGAGCAAUGAAUCGGAUAAGUAACUGGUAUAAACCGUAUAAACUGGCAUAAUUGAGUAAAGUGGUUGAAGAAAAAUAUUUUACGGCUGGACGGAGCCAUCCACUUACACUUUAACACUGAAUUCAAUUGCAUAACUUUUUGAGCUGUUGCUCUCUCAUCCAAAUUAAUGUAAAAUAGAGCAGUGUUGAAAGAUAGUCUAAAGCAUAGAGCAGUAUAGUAUCGGCUUAUAGUGACACAGCUAGUUUAUUUUUAACACGUUUUCAAUCCACAAUAAAUUAAGCAUAUCAGAAUUAUAGAUGAAAUUUUAUAUUUUUUAUCAGCUGGCAAAGCUUCUUGCGCAGCUGUACUUAAGUUGAAUAUUUUUUUUCCUGGUUUAGCAAACAAAAUGUGUGUUUUGGUUAUAAAAUAGUUCCAAAACGGUUAUAAAAUGGUUAUAUAUUGGUUAUAUUGGACUGAAUGUAUAAAAAAUAAAUUUUAACAACAAGAAUGAGAUUUAGGAACUAAAAAAAGAGAACUAAAUAUAACAUUUAUAAACUAUUUGACUAUUUUAAGCAUGAUUUCAUUACUUGCAACUAUAAUUGAAUUUACUAAAAAAAUUAAUAUAGUGUUAAAAAGCACACUUUUAAAUGUACAUAUAGACAUACAUACAUACAUCAUCAACUCAUCGUUGCCAAGUCACAGACACCACACGCGAACAUAACUAUCUCACCAAGCAAUCAUACAUUUAAUUAUAAGUAAAAAGAAAACAUUACUUCAAGAAACGACUUUUUCAUUUUAAAUACCGUUACGUAGAUUUUCAACAUUUUAAAUCGUGUAACAUGACAUAUGUAAUUAUAUUCAACUCCAACAAAUUUUUAACUCGUCAAUAAUUCGGACUUGUUUUUUUCAAAUUCUUUAAUACGUCAAAUUUUUGAAAAAAAAAAAUUACAGUGUAUUUCAUAAAAAAGUGUAACUGUAUAUACUCCUGUUUACUACAUUAAGUUAUUGUUUUGAGAAAGGCCAAAUUUAAAAGGGAAAGUGUUUUGAGCAAGCAAUGGUAUUUAAUUACUUCAAUAAUUUAGUAAAGUAAGCAAAGCAAUUAUUGUAUGGAAGUAAAUGAAAUGAAAAUAUAAUAAAAUAAAAAUUAAUAAUAAAAAAUAAUGUCAAAUGUUAAA